rnacentral:rRNA from 1 species
GACGAACGCUGGCGGCGUGCUUAACACAUGCAAGUCGAACGGAAAGGCCCUGCUUUUGUGGGGUGCUCGAGUGGCGAACGGGUGAGUAACACGUGAGUAACCUGCCCUUGACUUUGGGAUAACUUCAGGAAACUGGGGCUAAUACCGGAUAGGAGCUCCUGCUGCAUGGUGGGGGUUGGAAAGUUUCGGCGGUUGGGGAUGGACUCGCGGCUUAUCAGCUUGUUGGUGGGGUAGUGGCUUACCAAGGCUUUGACGGGUAGCCGGCCUGAGAGGGUGACCGGCCACAUUGGGACUGGGAUACGGCCCAGACUCCUACGGGAGGCAGCAGUGGGGAAUAUUGCACAAUGGGCGGAAGCCUGAUGCAGCAACGCCGCGUGCGGGAUGACGGCCUUCGGGUUGUAAACCGCUUUCGCCUGUGACGAAGCGUGAGUGACGGUAAUGGGUAAAGAAGCAUCGGCUAACUACGUG